rnacentral:rRNA from 1 species
GCGUGUAGGCGGUCUUUCAAGUCCGAUGCUAAAGACUGGGGCUCAACCCCANGGGUGCGUUGGAUACUGUGAGGCUAGACGGUCGGAGGGGGUAGCGGAAUUUCCGGAGUAGCGGUGAAAUGCGCAGAUACCGGAAGGAACGCCAAUAGCGAAGGCAGCUACCUGGACGACUUGUGACGCUGAGGCGCGAAAGCGUGGGGAGCAAACCCGGAUUAGAUACCCGGGUAGUCCACGCCCUAAACCAUGAGUGCUGGGUGUCCGGCUUCUGCUGGGUGCCGUAGCUAACGCGCUAAGCACUCCGCCUGGGAAGUACGCACGCAAGUGUGAAACUCAAAGGAAUUGACGGGGGCCCGCACAAGCGGUGGAGCAUGUGGUUUAAUUCGAAGCGACGCGAAGAACCUUACCAGGCCUUGACAUGCCCGGAACCCCUCUGAAAGGAGGGGGUGCCCGCAAGGGAGCCGGGACACAGGUGCUGCAUGGCCGUCGUCAGCUCGUGUCGUGAGAUGUUGGGUUAAGUCCCGCAACGAGCGCAACCCCUAUCCCUAGUUGCCAGCAGUUCGGCUGGGCACUCUAUGGAGACUGCCUGCGAAAGCAGGAGGAAGGCGGGGAUGACGUCUGGUCCGCAUGGCCCUUACGGCCUGGGCGACACACGUGCUACAAUGCCAAGGACAGAGCGCUGCUACCUCGCGAGAGGACGCCAAUCGCAAAAACCUUGGCUCAGUUCGGAUUGGAGUCUGCAACUCGACUCCAUGAAGCCGGAAUCGCUAGU